UGGGGUAACGGCCUACCAAGGCGACGAUACGUAGCCGACCUGAGAGGGUGAUCGGCCACACUGGAACUGAGACACGGUCCAGACUCCUACGGGAGGCAGCAGUAGGGAAUCUUCCGCAAUGGGCGAAAGCCUGACGGAGCAACGCCGCGUGAGUGAUGAAGGUCUUCGGAUCGUAAAGCUCUGUUGUUAGGGAAGAACAAAUGUGUAAGUAACUGUGCACAUCUUGACGGUACCUAACCAGAAAGCCACGGCUAACUACGUGCCAGCAGCCGCGGUAAUACGUAGGUGGCAAGCGUUAUCCGGAAUUAUUGGGCGUAAAGCGCGCGUAGGCGGUUUUUUAAGUCUGAUGUGAAAGCCCACGGCUCAACCGUGGAGGGUCAUUGGAAACUGGAAAACUUGAGUGCAGAAGAGGAAAGUGGAAUUCCAUGUGUAGCGGUGAAAUGCGCAGAGAUAUGGAGGAACACCAGUGGCGAAGGCGGCUUUCUGGUCUGCAACUGACGCUGAUGUGCGAAAGCGUGGGGAUCAAACAGGAUUAGAUACCCUGGUAGUCCACGCCGUAAACGAUGAGUGCUAAGUGUUAGGGGGUUUCCGCCCCUUAGUGCUGCAGCUAACGCAUUAAGC
rnacentral:rRNA from 1 species